CCCGACUGCUAUCGGAUUGAGAUUUAGCCAUGCGAGUCGAACGUCCCCCUGUUGCGGGGGGCGUGGCGUACGGCUCAGUAACACGUAGUCAACCUGCCCUGGAGACACGGACAACCCCGGGAAACUGGGAUUAAUCCGCGAUAGGUCAUCCCAUCUGGAAGGAGGGAUGGCUUAAAGGGGUGUGCGGGCUUCUUCUGCACAUUCGCUCCAGGAUGGGACUGCGUCCGAUCAGGCUGUUGGCGGGGUAAUGGCCCACCAAACCUGUAACCGGUACGGGCCUUGAGAGAGGUGGCCCGGAGAUGGACACUGAGAGAAGGGUCCAGGUCCUACGGGGCGCAGCAGGCGCGAAACCUUCGCAAUGCGCGAAAGCGUGACGAGGUUAAUCCGAGUGGUCUCCGCUGAGGAGACCUUUUGUCAGCUGUAAAUAGUCGGGCGAAUAAGGGGAGGGCA
rnacentral:rRNA from 1 species